rnacentral:rRNA from 1 species
AUGGAGGUGGUGACCGGUGCCAUGGGAAGCUUGCUCCCCAAGCUCGGCGAGCUGCUCGUGAGUGAGUACAAGCUGCAAAAGGGCGUCAAGGAGGACGUCGAGUCCCUCGAAAGGGAGAUGAAGAGCAUGAACGCUGCCCUCGUCAAGGUGGCGGAGGUGCCAAGGGACCAGCUGGACAACCAGGUCAUCAUCUGGGCUGACGAGCUCAGGGAGCUGUCGUACGACAUGGAGGAUGUUGUCGACAACUUUCUUGUGUACGUCAAGGGAUCUGAAUCCGAUGCUGUCACCGACUCAAACAAGCUCAAAGGGCUAAUGGUGAAGAUGGCCAACUUGUUCACCAAAGGCAAGACUCGCCAUCAGAUUGCCGAUGCCAUGAAGGACAUCAAGAACCGCGCCCAAGAGGUGGCUGGCCGGCAUAACAGGUACAGGGUUGAUGAGGUUGUUGCCAAUGCAGCUGGCAAACACAAGGUUGACCCUCGUCUGCUGGCAUUGUACAAGGAUCAGAAGGAGCUCGUUGGCAUUGAAGAUGAGCGGAACAAGCUAACCAAGAUGCUCACAGAUGGUGUUGGUGAUGGUGAUGUUCCCAAGCAACAACACAUGAUGAAGAUGGUCUCAAUUGUUGGACCUGGAGGACUUGGCAAGACUACACUUGCUAAGGCAGUGUAUGAUAGGCUUCAAACACAAUUUGAAUGCACAGCUUUUGUUCCAGUGGGUCGAAACCCUGAAGUGAAGAAAGUUUUAAGGGAUAUCCUUUUGGAGGUUGGCAAGAAGCAGGAGCAUAUUGGUGAUGUAGCCAUAUUGGAUGAAAGACAACUCAUCAACAUACUCCAACGACUACUUGAGAAUGCGAGGCGAAACAAGAGGUACUACCAGCGUCCUCUUUGGAUCAUACUACCAGUGUUGGUACGCCUGCUCAGGUAA